rnacentral:lncRNA from 1 species
AAAAUGGGUGUCUUCACUACUGUUACUAUUAUUCUUGUUGUUGUUGUUACCCUGUCCUCUGUUUUCUCAGUUCCCCGUGGGUGUCAACAUUUCCUCUGCCUCCACCUGUGUUGGGGGGAAGGUGCCUCCCCAGAGGAGGGGUGGGUUUAUCUACCUCAGGAUGGUCCCCGGGACACUUCUGUCCCCUCCUCGGGGGUUAACAGCACAGGCAGGGGCCCCUUCCCAAACCAUCUCAGACCCCGGUUUGCGUUUUAUUAAUGUCCUGUGCACUCUCUCUGCUCCAAUUUCUGGGGACACCUGAAUCCACUUCGGGAUUCUUCUGUGCUAGCCUUGUGUAGCCCGGGUGACAAACACUUGGAAUUGAAUUCAAGUUAGUCUAUAGCACUAAUCCCUCUCAUUUGAUAGUUAUCCAUGCUUGGAGCCCCCUCCUGUGCCAGCCGCCGUGCUGGAGGUGGGGUCGCGAGGAUAAAGAAGAAGAUGGUGUCCACCUUGUGGCACGCAGAGCCGAGCUGGGGCGCAGACAUCCAUGAGACAGCCUCCCACAGGGAUGGAGCGGCUCACCUGGGGCUCUUAACCAGAGCCCGGCCCCCUCUCCCGGAGGUUUUGACUCUGGGGCAAGGAAAGAGCCCAGGAAUCUGCAUUUUUAAAAAGUACUUCACAUGAUUCUUAUUAUCCAGGGCGUUUGGAAACAUUACCAGAAGGAACAGGAAUUAUAAACAGAGCUCUGCACUGGGAAGGAAAGGAAGCCGAGAGGACCCAUCUGAGAGAUCAGGGGCAGUGGUGAGGACCCCGUCAGCAAGCUCUCUCUGCCACGUGCCAAACCCGUGUGUGGAUCAGUGAGUUCUGGGCUGGCAAGGCCUCUGAAGAGUCUCCUGGGCUCGGAGCUCCCCUUGAGACAGCAGGGGUUGCUGACAGAUACUGGGCCAGCAGGACUAGCCUAACAGUCACCUCCAGCUGGCGGGCCCCAUGCUGUGUGUCGGCCUCUGUGGCCCACACUUCCCAGAUGUCAUCCCAAAUGACUGGCUAAGCCCCGUGAGUAGAAACUAUUAUCCUUGUACCCCUUUUACAGGUGAGGAAACCGAGGCACAGAGAGGUUAAGUGAGUUGCCCACGGUCACCCAGAGAACGAGCCCCAUGCAGUGCCUGCAUUUAAACCCUCAUGCUGACUCCAAGAGAAGGCGAAAGUCGUCCACCUCACCCGUACCGGAAGAGGAAAGGGGUGACAGGGGGCAGCAGCCCAGAGCACCUCGGGAAGUGACUGGGGGCAGGGCCGGGACCAGGUCAGGCAAGCAAGGAGCAGAAGCCUGCACUACGUCACUGACACUUCAGUGAAGAUGGAAGAGACGGCAGGGGGAAGCGUCUGGGGGAUUUCAGUGGUGAAGGCACAUGGUGUGGGUUCAAUGAACAGAUCCGGGGCAGAGCCUGGGUUCAGGCAGGGCCUGGAGAUGUUCCCAGGCAGCGGGCAG